rnacentral:rRNA from 1 species
GUGAGGAAUAUUAGUCAAUGGGCGGGAGCCUGAACCAGCCAAGUCGCGUGAAGGAAGAAGGAUCUAUGGUUCGUAAACUUCUUUUGCAGGGGAAUAAAGUGCAGGACGUGUCCUGUUUUGUAUGUACCCUGAGAAUAAGGAUCGGCUAACUCCGUGCCAGCAGCCGCGGUAAUACGGAGGAUCCGAGCGUUAUCCGGAUUUAUUGGGUUUAAAGGGUGCGUAGGUGGUUUGAUAAGUCAGCGGUGAAAGUUUGCAGCUUAACUGUAAAAAUGCCGUUGAAACUGUCGGACUUGAGUGUAAAUGAGGUAGGCGGAAUGCGUGGUGUAGCGGUGAAAUGCAUAGAUAUCACGCAGAACUCCGAUUGCGAAGGCAGCUUACUAAGCUACAACUGACACUGAAGCACGAAAGCGUGGGGAUCAAACAGGAUUAGAAACCCGUGUAGUCC